rnacentral:rRNA from 1 species
UACGGAGGAUGCGAGCGUUAUCCGGAUUUAUUGGGUUUAAAGGGUGCGUAGGCGGACGCUUAAGUCAGCGGUAAAAUUGCGGGGCUCAACCUCGUCGAGCCGUUGAAACUGGGUGCCUUGAGUGGGCGAGAAGUACGCGGAAUGCGUGGUGUAGCGGUGAAAUGCAUAGAUAUCACGAAGAACCCCGAUUGCGAAGGCAGCAUACCGGCUCCACACUGACGCUGAGGCACGAAAGCGUGGGUAUCGAACAGG